GAUGAACGCUGGCGGCGUGCUUAAUACAUGCAAGUCGAACGGAGUAUGUAGCGAUAUAUACUCAGUGGCGAACGGGUGAGUAACGCGUUGGUGACCUGCCCCGAAGAGGGGGAUAACAGUUCGAAAGGACUGCUAAUACCCCAUAAUCUCGGCGAGGUUAGAGGCUUGUCGAGGAAAGCAGCAAUGCACUUUGGGAGGGACCUGCGUCCCAUCAGCUAGUUGGUAGGGUAACGGCCUACCAAGGCGACGACGGGUAGGGGGCCUGAGAGGGUGGCCCCCCACACUGGCACUGAAACACGGGCCAGACUCCUACGGGUGGCUG
rnacentral:rRNA from 1 species